rnacentral:piRNA from 1 species
UCCUAAGUGUUACCUCUUAUUCCUCUAGAC